rnacentral:rRNA from 1 species
CCUACGGGAGGCAGCAGUAGGGAAUUUUGCGCAAUGGGGGAAACCCUGACGCAGCAACACCGCGUGAAUGUUAAGCCCUUCGGGGUUUAUAGUUCUGUCAAUAGGGACGAAUUUUGACUGUACCUAUAAAGGAAGCACCGGCUAACUCAGUUCCAGCAGCCGCGGUAAUACGGGGGCUGCAAGCGUUGUCCGGAAUCAUUGGGCGUAAAGCGUUCGUAGGCGGUAUGUCAAGUCUGAUGUUAAAGCCCGGGGCUAAACUCCGGUUCGGCAUUGGAUACUGGCAAGCUAGAGUGUGGUAGAGGUAAGGGGAAUUCCUGGUGUAGCGGUGAAAUGCGUAGAUAUCAGGCAGAACAUCGGUGGCGAAGGCGGCUCUCUGGUCUGUAACUGACGCUGAGGUUCGAAAGCGUGGGUAGCAAACAGGAUUAGAUACCCGAGUAGUC